rnacentral:rRNA from 1 species
GACGAACGCUGGCGGCGUGCUUAACACAUGCAAGUCGAACGGAAAGGCCCUGCUUUUGUGGGGUGCUCGACUGGCAACCGGGUGCGUAACACGAACGUAACCUGCCCCUGACUUUGGGAUAACUUCAGGAAACUGGGGCUAAUACCGAUUCCGCGCUCCUGCUGCAUGGUGGGGGUUGGAAAGUUUCGGAGGUUGGGGAUGGACUCGCGGCUUAUCAGCUUGUUGGUGUGGUAGUGGCUUACCAAGGCUUUGACGGGUAGCUCGCCUGAGAGGGUGACCGGCAACAUGGGGAAAGAGAUACGGCACGGAGUACUACGGGAGGCAGCAGUGGGGAAUAGUGCAUGAUGGGCGGAAGCCGGGUGCAGCAACGCCGCGUUCGGGAUGAUGGCCUUCUGUUUGGAGGCCGCUUUCGCCUGUGAGUGAGCGUGAGUGACGGUAAUGGGUAAAGAAGGACCGGCUAAUUACGUG